GACGAAGGAUGCAAGCGUUAUCCGGAUUCAUUGGGUUUAAAGGGAGCGUAGGUGGCCUUGUAAGUCAGUGGUGAAAUCCUGUCGCUUAACGACAGAAUUGCCAUUGAUACUGCAGGGCUUGAGUACAGAUGCCGUUGGCGGAAUAUGACAUGUAGUGGUGAAAUACUUAGAUAUGUCAUAGAACACCGAUUGCGAAGGCAGCUGACGAAACUGUAACUGACACUGAGGCUCGAAAGUGUGGGGAUCAAACAGG
rnacentral:rRNA from 1 species